rfam:Salmo salar isolate Sally breed double haploid chromosome ssa05, whole genome shotgun sequence.
UCCCCUGUGGCUCAGUUGGUAGAGCAUGGUGUUUGCAACGCCAGGGUUGUGGGUUCGAUUCCCACGGGGGAC